GUUAUUUAUUGUCACUACCUCCCCGCGUCGGGAGUGAGUAAUUUGCGCGCCUGCUGCAUUCCUUGGAUGUGGUAGCCGUUUCUCAGGCUCCCUCUCCGGAAUCGAACACUGAUUCCCCGUUACCCGUGGUCACCAUGGUAGGCGCAGAUAGUAACAUCAAAAGUUGAUAGGGCAGACAUCCGAAUGCGUCGUCGCCGCCACGG